UUUCUAAGUUGCUUGCAUUCUGCCUGUCAUGUCAAAAUGGCAGAGCUUUCCACAAACCACUCCAGCAAAUAAAGUCUCCUCUCUGAGUGCCUAAUCUUCUCCCGGUAAGCAGAAAGAGAGUGGGGCAUAAACUGCUUUCUUCCACCGCUGCCCCCAGAGGACCCCACAGUCCCACUCACGUGGCCCGUGGAGAGACCGAAACGAGACAAAUGAUACCUUGGCGAUGACUGGAGAAUCUUACGCAGAGAAAUUUAUUACGUUUUGGAAAAGUUCCGGGCAGUGGUUUUUAUCAUUAGAUCCUUUAUGCUCUUCAAGUUGCAUAAGACGCUCUGACUUCUUUUUCUUGUCGAAGCAUAACUUCCAGGUCAGCUUUAGCUGUUCAGGUGGGCAAGCCACAGCUUUUUGCUGUUGGAGGAGGUGAGGCUGACAGAAAGAGAAGAUAACCCUUAUAGUGGAGGACCUGGAAGAGAUCAUCCUCUGGAGUCAGGCAGUGAACGGUACAUGAUUAUAUCUUUUAGACACUUGUCACCUCAGAAUGCCUACCAGUUAUCAGGAACUAUGAACAUAUUCUUCUUGUACUGCUGGGGAAAACUCAGAUCUGUGACAGAAUUCCUUCCAUUGUCUCGAGAGCAAAUGCAGCAACAACUCACAUUUAUUGAGCACUUACUCAUCUAGACGCUUUACCUCAUUUUGUCUUCACCACCUUCUCAGGAAGGUACUACUGCCAGCCCCAUUUUACAGGCUUGCUCACAGGUUAAUGAUCAUUUGUACUUCAUUUUGCAAUUUUGUGAAGAGACUUCUGACCGUGAUAAGGAUCCAAACAACCAACAGAUGAGACAAAGAACUUUCUAUUCACACUUCCUACUCCUAAUUAAACACCCAGUUUAUUCUUUAUGACUGCUAUUCCUGGUGUUACCCACACAACUGCAAAACAAAGCACUCAUGGGAAGAGCUGCCAGGGACCUCACAUAACCCCCAAGGUAGACUGGACAGCAACUUCCACUGCCGUUCUCUCUUGGAUUAUGAACGUCCUUCAACAAAACACAUGAUGCUACGGGCCUACCACUCAUCACUGGGAUGUGGUUUCCAGGGGGCUAAGAUACCUAUGUUUAACCAACCACAUGGCCUACUCAAUCUUCCCCAGGGGCCAAUUUGCCACAUCUGACCAUGGUGAAAGGUACAGCCAGUGGCCACAGGAGACAGUGAAGUUGACAGGAUAACUAGGGAUCGGAUCCAUGACUUGGUUUCAUUGACUUUAUGAACUAGGUGGCUGUCCCUCCAGUCAG
rnacentral:lncRNA from 1 species